GCCAGUUUGGCUCAGUGGAUAGAGCAUUGGCCUGCAGACUGAAGGUCCCAGGUUCAAUUCCUGGUCAGGGCA
rfam:Myotis brandtii contig202232, whole genome shotgun sequence.